UUUGGGCUGCCCCUGCCAGGCGGGGGUGAAGGGCAGGUCAGGCAGCGGGACUGGGAUCUCUCCCCAUCUGAUCAGCCGAAUCCCCCUCCUCCCCGGGCAGCUGAUCAGACCCAGCAGCGAUGGGGUAGACCGAAACAACGGGAAGAAUUUGGUCAGGCUGUGCAUUUCUCCUUCAGGUGGGGGUCACCCAGGCGCCGCGGAAGGAGAGCCGCAGGGAUGCGUUUUGGCAGGCGCCCACAUGUUUUUCUCCUUCCCGUGCCCCAGAAGGGAAAGUGACGAAUUCUGCCAAAGAUGCGUGCUUGGAUGUGAGAUGAUUUAGCCAAAGAGAAAAUAACUGGAUGGCUGGAAGAAGGAGCAUUUGAUAGGAAAUAACCUUGGAGCGCAGCUCUCUGACAUGAUGGUGUGCAAGGUGCCCAGCUUCCUGAGAUGACUGUGCUCCAUGAAAUGCCAAUGGGGAAAAUAACUUCCAGCGGAGAUGAUAAAGGACAAUAAAGACAACCAGAUCACACAGAAUCCAAUGCAAGAGAGACUGCAGAGCGGGCUGGGUGCUCCCUUCUGCUCCUCUGCACCUGAUCAAGAAAUGGUUUCAGCAUUGACAUACGUAAAGUUCCUCCUGUUCAGUUUUGGACUCUGACUAGGUGCUGAGGCAAUGAGUCGAGUAUUUGGCUGGUGUAAAUCAGUGCAGCUCAACUGACUUGGUCGUGUUGUACCUGUAGAUGUGUUGCUUCUUCCUCCACCGGGAAGAUGUCGGCCACUCCCUCACUGCAAGGCAAGAGCGUGGGCAGCUUCUCCACGCCGAUGCUGUAGGACCGCAGCAGAGUGAUACCUGAGCAAAAACUCACACCUCCUCGCGCAUCACUUCAUAGUAUCUGGUCUGUAGCCCGCAAGUGAAACUACAGCUCCCAACACCUGGGAUCUGUGCCUGACUGGCUGCCUGCUACCUUUGGGCAUGUCGCUUCUCCCGUCUCUGCCUCAGCUUCCCCAAGUGUACGACGCUUUAUGAAGGACUUUGAAUAUCACUGAGUAAAAAGCAUUAAAUGAGAUCGUCUUGUCCUUCUGGCCUGAUGUACGUUAUACAGCCACUGUGGCUGGGAAUAAACAUCCCUCUGUUUCCCUCGUUUCACAGUGACACCCAGUUCCCAGGAUUAUCUCCCCCUUUGUCUGUGACAACACUGGAGAAAAAAACCUCAAAGAUGUUCACGCCGUGGAGAUCGGGGCUGACACAUGGACAUCACGUCGCUGUUUGUGUCCAUUCAUCUCUCGUUAACAGCUUACC